AGCCCCACCUGGGGCAAGGUUAGUGUUUGAACGCGGAUAUGCUACACACCACCCGGUCAACCGGUCCCCCUAAGGUGGUGCGACUGUAAGGCGAAAGUUCGCAGAGCAGCCUACACCACUGACCUGCUCGUCGUUGUUCACUUUUUUCCUGGCGUUCGAGCCCGACGCACCGUUGCGUCCGUUCGCCGCCUCACGCCGUGUCUUGCGGAAAAACCGCGUGUGUGGUCAAGUUGUUCGGGGCAUUUUAUUACGAUCCGUCGAGUGACCAAUUCCGAAUUGGUCCUCGUUCCGAUAUUUCGGACAUUGUCGGCCGAUCCGAGUCGUUUUGUCGCACGUCAUUGCGUAAGUGCGUAUGCAAUAGUCAUAUGCUUAUAUUCGAGUUGUCGUCCGUGAACGUCGCGUAGUAUUUCGGUGUGGUGUUUCUGUGUGGUGUGCGUAUAUCGCCCCCCUCCCGGCUGACCAUCAUCAGAUUAUCAUCGUCCAGCGUUCCAGAUCACCAGGGGAAGAUCGAGCGGUGUCGGAAUAUCAGAAUGGUACAGCAUAUAUUUGAGACGCACUUAUAUUGAAGCACAUGGACCACCGAUGACCGCUUACUGUAUUCUCAACAGUACAACAUAUGAACAAAAAAAUAAAAUAUUUUUUUCUAAACUUUUUCAAUCGGUUGUUUUGGAUGAGUUGAUUCAGUACCCCUUCUUAUUAUCCAAUAACUGAAAAAAAAUUCAAGGCGGGGGGUCUAACAUUUUUUUUUAAAUAUAAUUGCUGAAAAUGUAUAGUCAAUAAACUAUAUUCACAGUCAAGGUUACAGUUAUUUUUUUCAAAAUUAUUAUUUUUAAUUUAUGUUCUUUUUAGUAUCUAUAUAUCCAUAUUAUUCAGUAUAAUGAUUAAUGACCAUAAGUAAUACAUGUUAAC